GAGGUCCGGACUCUCUGGACGUUCGCUCGCGUCUUCCAGAGGAACGAAGUUGUGGUGCCAUGGCUGGAAGCGAAACUUUCUCACCCUGUGGACCUCCACGAACCAGUGGUCGAACUAGGAAAUAAAAAGUACUCCAUCAAUUGUUCUGCAUGACCCGAUUAGACUGUCCUGGUUUCCAUGGCACUUAUCCCACCACCUCCAUCAGGUUUUUGCCAUUGAGUUCAUUGUAUUCCAGUUCCAAACAUGAAACAUUUGUCUGGGCUACCUGCCCAGGGAGGCAUUGGAUUGAGCUGUUGGGGCAACCAGAGGAGAAGCUGCUGUCUACGGACGUCCAGGUGA